UCUCCGUUGGUGAACCAGCGGAGGGAUCAUUACAGAGUUGCGAAACUCCAUAAACCAUUGUGAACCUACCCUCAACCGUUGCUUCGGCGGGCGGCCCCGACCCCCGGGGCCCUUGGCCUCCGCUGGCGCCCGCCGGAGGUACGCAAAAACCCUUUGAGCUUUGCAUGGCCUCUCUGAGUCUCUGUACUGAAUAAGUCAAAACUUUCAACAACGGAUCUCUUGGUUCUG
rnacentral:misc_RNA from 1 species